GCGUGAGUGAAGAAGGCCCUAGGGUUGUAAAGCUCUUUCACCGGUGACGAUGAUGACGGUAACCGGAGAAGAAGCCCCGGCUAACUCCGUGCCAGCAGCCGCGGUAAGACGGAGGGGGCUAGCGUUGUUCGGAAUUACUGGGCGUAAAGCGCGCGUAGGCGGCGCGUCAAGUCGGGCGUGAAAGCCCGGGGCUCAACCCCGGAAUUGCGUUCGAGACUGGCGUGCUGGAGUACGGGAGAGGAGAGCGGAAUUCCCAGUGUAGAGGUGAAAUUCGU
rnacentral:rRNA from 1 species